UCACUAUAUGGCAGUUCAUGUUAUAAACCUAGAAGGGUACAGAAAAAAUUACCAAGGUCCUUGUGCAAGAACGACACAAAUAUCUUUGAAGCAUUCUUACUGUUU
ensembl:snRNA U6 U6 spliceosomal RNA